GACGAACGCUGGCGGCGUGCUUAACACGUACAAGUCGAACGGUAAGGCCCUUCGGGGUACACGAGUGGCGAACGGGUGAGUAACACGUGGGUGAUCUGCCCUGCACUUCGGGAUAAGCCUGGGAAACUGGGUCUAAUACCGGAUAGGACUCCUGGCUUCAUGGUUGGGGGUGGAAAGCUUUUGCGGUGUGGGAUGGGCCCGCGGCCUAUCAGCUUGUUGGUGGGGUAAUGGCCUACCAAGGCGACGACGGGUAGCCGGCCUGAGAGGGUGACCGGUCACACUGGGACUGAGAUACGGCCCAGACUCCUACGGGAGGCAGCAGUGGGGAAUAUUGCACAAUGGGCGCAAGCCUGAUGCAGCGACGCCGCGUGAGGGAUGACGGCCUUCGGGUUGUAAACCUCUUUCAGCUAUGACGAAGCGCAAGUGACGGUAGUAGCAGAAGAAGGACCGGCCAACUACGUGCCAGCCGCCGCAGUAA
rnacentral:rRNA from 1 species